rnacentral:rRNA from 1 species
AGAGCGAACGCUGGCGGCAGGCCUAAUACAUGCAAGUCGAACGCACCUUCGGGUGAGUGGCGGACGGGUGAGUAACACGUGGGAACGUGCCUUUUGGUUCGGAAUAAUCCGGGGAAACCUGGCCUAAUACCGGAUGUGCCCUUCGGGGGAAAGAUUUAUCGCCAUUAGAGCGGCCCGCGUCUGAUUAGCUAGUUGGUGAGGUAACGGCCCACCAAGGCGACGAUCAGUAGCUGGUCUGAGAGGAUGAUCAGCCACACUGGGACUGAGACACGGCCCAGACUCCUACGGGAGGCAGCAGUAGGGAAUCUUGCGCAAUGGGCGAAAGCCUGACGCAGCCAUGCCGCGUGAAUGAUGAAGGUCUUAGGAUUGUAAAAUUCUUCACCGGGGACAUAAUGACGGUACCCGGAGAACGAAGCCCCGGCUAACUUCGCGCCAGCAGCCGC